GACGAACCGAGCGAACGUUAUUCGGAAUAACUGGGCUUAAAGGGUGCGUAGGCGGGCUGUCAAGUCUGGGGUGAAAUCCGGCAGCUUAACUGUCGAACUGCCUUAGAUACUGAUGGCCUCGAGGAAGGUAGGGGCAUGCGGAACUGUAGGUGGAGCGGUGAAAUGCGUUGAUAUCUACAGGAACGCCGGUGGCGAAGGCGGCGACCUGGGUCGAGACUGACGCUGAUGCGCGAAAGCGUGGGGAGCAAACAGG
rnacentral:rRNA from 1 species